UCCUGUCUGCAAUGAACCCUCUCCUCCACCACACCUUGGAGAAGUCAUGCCCUUGUUUUUUGUUUUUGUUUUUUUUAAAUUAUUUAUCUGGUACUGAAACCACAGUGUCCCAUAUGAGUUCCCUUCCUAGGGACUUGGCCUUUCUGAACUGAGGCUAAUCUGACUCUUAGGGUAGGUAUGCACCGUUUCUGCUGGUGUCUGCCACCUACCAAAUUUGCCUCCAGAUUCUGGAGUCUGCCUCUUCAGCUGCUGCUUCCCUCCACCUGCUCUAGCCAGCUGCCUCUCCUCACCUCCUCAGUGUCUCUCUGGCUCCGGCAGCCUGCUAUGACUCCUGGACACCUGUCGUCUGGCUCCUGGAGCAAACUGCGCCAUACCUGGGUCUCAUAUCCUCAUCUCCCCGGCAGCUACAUCCACCUGGAUGGGAGUCACCCCGGAGCAGCCUGCUGUGGCUACCAUGACUACAAAAGCCACACUGGCGUACCAGGAUGCUCCUCUUGCCAUCACGUGGAGAGGGACACCUCAUCUUGUCUCUGACUUGGGACAUUUCUCUUGGACAAGUCUCUCAGAUUUCAUGGACCCUCACUGUCUUACUACGAAUGGCUUGGCCUCAGCACAGCUCACUCAGUGGCUAACGAUGGCACGCUCAAUUUUAAAUUCUCUCCUAUGGUAACAGCUUCUACUAUCACACAAGCAAAUGGGCCCCAGAUCUCUUAUAACUAAACUUUCUCUGCUCUACACUUCCAAAAGUCUCUUAUUUCUAAGGUUUUUAUACUUUCCUCUCUUAAAAGAAACUUUAUCUCUGUGAUUUCUCUCAAACAAACAAAAAACAAACAAACAACCCCCCCAACCAAAAACCCUCUUAAGACUAUGCUGUAAACUAUCUCAGGAUUUGUAAGUUCAUUGGGUAUGGUUAAAAAUCUGUAACACAAUUUAACUUAAAACUUGUAACAAAAGAUUUAUAGUUAAAAAAAUCUAUACCUGGGUAAUCUUGUUUUGCUACAACAUAUUAUUUAUGUGACUGAACUCUUGUUUAGAAUAUUCUUUAUAUGUAAUUUGGAUUCAGCUCUUGUUUAGAAAAUAGAUCUGCUAGAAAUUAGAUGUUCUAAAACACCUUGUGGCUGGCAGCCAUCUUUACCACGGUUAAAAAAGAGCGCACUCACUGUAACUUCACCAGCAUCUUGGUUAAGAUUAGCAUGUGGUAUAAAGCAACACUUAUAAAACCUCCCAGUCCUGCUGAGCCCUCUGCUUAUCACUGUGUCUGCCUUUUAGACCGAGGAGGAAACAGCAGGCCUCUAAAAUAUUUUGGAUUGGGAUGGAUUUUUAUGCGAUAAUAAAUUCCCAAGGUUAUAAAGGUCUACUCAGGUAAAUAGAAACUGACUUACAUCUUUGCUAACUACUCAGCAGUAGGUUUCUGAAAAAUCUUAGAUAAGGAACAACAUAUGUUUGAUCAAUAAGGUUUAUAAAUUCCUAAGGUCUACUCAGGUUAAUGGUCUGUAGCUGACUUAAGAAAUCUGUCUAGCCUCUUUGUCUUUGCUAACUUUUCUAACCUUUAGCUAUUUGGGUAAACUGAGUCGUACAAGAAAUUGUGCUAUUCUGUAAUGGUGCACUAUGAAAGGAUGAAAAAAAUAAAAGGAUUUCUGGUCUCUG